GGCCUAUUAGCUCAGUUGGUUAGAGCGUGAAGGUCGCAGGUUCGAGACCUGCAUGGGCCA
rnacentral:tRNA from 1 species